AGCUGGGUCGGCAAGCAACAGGAGCACGGGUCAUCUUUUCCCCGGGGGCGUCGGAAUGGACCUGUGCCACCCAGAGCCCGCGGAGCUGAGCAGCGGGGAGACGGAAGAGUUACAGAGGAUCAAGUGGCACCGGAAGCAGCUCCUGGAGGACAUCCAGAAGCUGAAGGAUGAGAUCGCAGACGUGUUUGCCCAAAUCGACUGCUUCGAGAGUGCAGAGGAGAGCCGGAUGGCCCAGAAGGAGAAGGAGCUGUGUAUUGGGCGCAAGAAGUUCAACAUGGACCCCGCCAAGGGUAUCCAGUAUUUCAUUGAGCACAAGCUGCUGACCCCUGACAUCCAGGACAUUGCACGGUUCCUGUAUAAAGGCGAGGGCCUCAACAAGACAGCCAUUGGUACCUACCUGGGGGAGAGGUAAGAACGAGUGGAGCCUUAGCGAGGCAGGAAAUGAAGGUGUGCAGGUGUGUACAGGUGUGUGGAUGUGCAGGUGAGAGGAUGAAUUAUGUUAGGAAAGUCAUCACUCCUAGGGCUUGAGGGGCUCACGGAUCAUCCCCUCCAGAUUCUGAGUCAAAGCCUGACUGCCAUCAUUCAUUUAGUCAUUUAUUCAACAAAUAAAUGUUGCUUAGGGUCUACUGUGUUCCAGGCACCAUCCUAAGCCAUAGGUGUACACCAGUGAAUAAGACAGACAAAACUCUUGUCCUCAGGAGGUCCACACUAGUGGGAGAGACAGGUCUCAAUAGAUGUAAAAUAUGUUAGAGAAUGAUAAGCUCUGUGGAAUACAAAUCAAGCGGGGAAGGGAAGUCAGAAAUGCCGGGGACCGGCCAGGCUCGGGGCUCACGCCUGUAAUCCCAGCAGUUUGGGAGGCCGACGCGGGCGGAUCACGAGGUCAGCAGUUUGAGACCAGCCUGGCCAACAUGGUGAAACCCCGUCUCUACUAAAAAUACAACAAUUAGCCGGAUGUGGUGGCAGGUGCCUGUAGUCCCAGUUACUCAGGAGGCUGAAGCAAGGGAAUCGCUUGAGCCCGGGAGUUGGAGGUUGCAGUGAGCUAAGAUCACACCAUUGCACUCCAGUCUGGGAAACAGAUCGAGACCGAGACUCCGUCUCAAAAAAAAAAAAAAAAAAGAGAAAA
rnacentral:sRNA from 1 species